rnacentral:misc_RNA from 1 species
GAUGAAGAACGUAGCGAAAUGCGAUACGUAAUGUGAAUUGCAGAAUUCAGUGAAUCAUCGAAUCUUUGAACGCAUAUUGCGCUCUCUGGUAUUCCGGAGAGCAUGCUUGUUUGAGUAUCAGUAAACACCUCAACUUCCAUAUCUUUUUUGAAAUGGGAGUUGGACUUGAGUGAUCCCAACGCUUUUCCUCACCGAAAAGUGGCGGGUUACUUGAAAUGCAGGUGCAGCUGGACUUUUCUCUGAGCUAUAAGCAUAUCUAUUUAGUCUGCCUAAAAAACAGAUUAUUACCUUUGCUGCAGCUAACAUAAAGGAGAUUAGUUGUUGUGCUGACUGAUGCAGGAUUCACAAAGACAGGCUUCGGCCGACUUUGUAAACUCGAUCUCAAAUCAAGUAAGACUACCCGCUGAACUUAAGCAUAUCAAUAAGCGGAGGA